CGGAGGACUGAGAAGGUGAGGCAGUUCUGAACCAUGCUGCCUUCCACUGGUUAAGACCUCCGAGAGCGAAGGCCUGCAGAGGCAGAGGAAGUCCCUCUGCCGCCCCCAGAGGGGCAGCACUGUGUUGGCCGACACUUG
rfam:TPA: Bos taurus chromosome 10, whole genome shotgun sequence.